CGGCGGCGGAGUACCGGGAGAGGGCCGGGCCGCAGCCCAGUCCCGGUACCCACGCGAGUCGUGAGCGCCGCCAGGUGCCGAUGGAGGUCAGCGGCCUGCCGGCGGAGCUGUGGCGGCUCAUCUUAUCCUACCUGCGCCUCCCCGACCUGGGCCGCUGCAGCUCGGUCUGCAGGACCUGGUACGAGCUCGUCCUCAGCCUGGACAAAACGCGCUGGCGGCAGCUCUGCCUGGGCUGCCUGGAGCACAGGCACCCCAACUGGCCCAACCAGCCCGGCGUGGAGCCGCGGUCCUGGAGAGAGGCCUUCAAACAGCACUACCUGUCCUCCAAAACCUGGACCAAAAACACGCAGGACCCGGAGUCCUCCAACUGCCUCUCCCUUUUCCGGAGGAGGAAAGGCCGGCGCCGGCUCUGCGUCGGCGAUGGGGGUGAGUUUAGCAGCCUCCGGGCCGCCCUGGCUGCCGCCGGCCCUUACGACCGCCUCGUGCUGCUGCCCGGCGUGCACGAGGAGCAGAGCGAGGUGCUGCUGAAGGUGCCCGUGGAAGUUGUGGGGCAAGGCAAGCUGGGGGACGUGGCGCUGCUGGUGAGCAUUGACCAGCACUGCCCCACCGCCCGCCUCUGCAACGUGGUCUUCAUGCCGGCGCGCUUCACCUCGGUGGUCUACAAGACAACCUCAGGCUAUGUCCAGUUCGACAAUUGCAAUUUUGAAAGUGGGCAGCUGCAGAUCCAUGCACCAGGGACGUGCCAGGUGAAGUUCUGCACCUUCAGCCAGUCCAGCAUCUACCUCCGCAGCGUGGCCCUCUGCAUCCUGGAGAACUGUGAGUUCACCGGCAGCGAGAACGCCUCUGUAACUGUGGAGGGCUGCCCGAGCUCUGACCGUAACUGGGCCUGCAAGCACCUGGCCGCGCUGGCCAAGUCCUGCGCAGCGUCCAUGCGGGAGCCCGACCCAGCCGACUGCCCCAUGGCCAAGCGGGAUGGCUCGGGGGAAUUGCUGCUGGGGCCAGUGAGAACAUGUGAGAUUGUCGUAGGGGAAGAACGAAGCAGCUUACUCUCUGCUGCGGGUGCUCAAGACCUGCUUGGCUCAGCCCAGGAGGACUCUGAAUUCGGAGAGAGCCUGCAGGCAGCAAAGGAGGAGGAGUACCCGGUCCUCGACUCAAACUCCAGUGACAGUGACUUACACAGCGACGAUGAAGAGGAUGCUCAGGCUAUGUACAAACUGCCCUAUCAAGGCCACAGCCUGAGUCACACGCUUGCUGACAUUAUGGACAGCAGACUCCAAAGCAGCAGGCUGCACGCCCUUCAGAAGGACCUUAAGCUCAAGUCCCUGGAGCAGGAGCUGCAGCAGGACAAGGAGGCCCAGUCUUUGGCCAACUCUCUGCAAGGCUGCAUCAUCCGACAGUGCCUUUUCAGGGACGGGAAGGGAGGAAUAUUCAUUUAUUCACGAGGGCAAGCAAAACUGGAAGAAAGCAUCUUCAGGGAUCUGACCUACGCAGUGCGUUGCGUACAAAACAGUAAGGUCAUCAUGCUGAGGAAUGACAUUCACCAUUGCAAAGCAUCAGGGAUAUUCCUGCGCCUGUCAGCAGGAGGCCUGAUUGCAGACAACAAUAUCCAUUCGAACUCUGAGGCCGGAGUGGACAUUCGUAAGGGAGCCAACCCCCUUGUUCUGUGCAAUAAGAUACACAGUGGCCUUCGCUCGGGCAUUGUCGUCGUUGGCAACGGAAAAGGCAUCAUCCGUAGCAAUCAGAUCUAUGGGAAUAAAGAAGCUGGCAUUUAUAUUCUGUAUAAUGGAAACCCUGCUGUGAGUGGGAACCAUAUUUUCCAGGGACUGGCUGCUGGAAUAGCAGUGAAUGAGAACGGGAGAGGCCAAAUCACAGGGAAUGUCAUCUGCGAGAACCAGUGGGGCGGUGCGGACAUCCGCCAUGGGGGCGACCCCGUCCUCAGGAACAACCUCAUCUCCGGCGGCUACUCGGACGGCGUGGUGGUGGGCGAGCGCGGGAAGGGCCUCAUCGAAGGAAACGCCAUUUACGGCAACAAGGGCUGCGGCGUGUGGAUGACGUCCUCCAGCCUCCCGCACCUCAUCAACAACCAGAUCAGCCACAACAGCAUCUACGGAGUGGCGGUGUUCUGCCGCAAGGACGACGCUGGUGACUACCCCCCCGGUCAGGGGGGCAGCGAGAACUUCCAGGAGGAGAGGGAAGGUGCUGGCGGGGAGAACGACCCCAACAGUGAGGAGGAGCACCCGGCUGCCCGGCGUCCCAUCAGCGUGGCGCUGGUGGAGUUGAACAGCAUCAACCACAACGGAGCUGCUGGGUUGCACGUCAAGAGCAGCGAGGCGCUCAACGUCAUCGCCAACGUAAUUCAUGCCAACCGCGACGGCGGGGUGGCGGUGCUGCAGAGCAGCCGGCUGACGCGCAUUGCGAACAACAGCAUCUCCUGCAACAGCCGGGGAGGCGUGCUGGUCGAGGCCGAGUGCCAGGUGGAGCUGCGUGGCAACGGCAUCUAUGAGAACAGCAGCCACGGCAUCGUCUCCAAGGGAGAGGGCAUCAUCAUGGAGAACGACAUCGUCGGCAACCACAGGUGUGGCCUUCGGCUGCUCCAGGCAGCGGACAUGAAGGUGCGUCCUGCAGAGAGCUGAAGGGGGGGCACCGACUUGUGCCUCCCUACGGCCAGGGGCGAGACAGAGCCUGGUGCCGCUGCCCUCCCACCUUGGUUGAAGGGGAAGACAGUUAGCAAGCCCCCAGUUAGCCAGCAGGACAGGAGGGACCGCCCUGGCAUUGCCAGCGGGAGGAGCAGACAAUCAGGAUUCCAUCCUCGACCCUGCGAUUAGAGGGGGGUGUGAUUUCCAGGCUACGUUAGGAUUGUGUCUAGCUGAUUGAGGAAGGUUGUCCCCCAUCUCCUUUGGCGUUGGGAGGUGCACCUGAAAUGUUGUGUCCAGUUUGGGACCUCGAGGUCAGGAGGGAGGUGGAGUAAAGGGAGAGGGUCCAUGGUAGAGCUACCAGGGUGGGCAAGUGCUGGGACACAUGACUGAUGAGAUGAGGCAGAGGGAGCUGGGCUUGGUUAGUCUGGCAAAGAGGAAGCCAAGGAGGAUCUAACAGUAGCCCACAGCUCCCUGAAGGGCCGUCAGAGCCAAGACUCCUCAGCAGUGCCAGCAAGAGUCAACAGCACAACUUGCGGUGGUCCCUGGGCACGGGGAGGUCCAGGUGGGAGACUGGGGGACCCUUCUUGCCUUGGAGGGUGGUGCAGCCCUUGGAGAGGUCGCAGAGCGGUGUGGGGUCACCAUCCUUGGGGGUUUCCAAGCCUCGGCAGAAAAAAGCCAGGGCUGCUCUGGUCUAGUGCUGUAGACAGUCCUACUCCAGAGCUCCCUUCCACCAGCACUCCUUAACUCCAGGUUUUUUCGUGGGCAGUCACUGGGAAUGGGCUGGAGGAAAGUCAGCAGAAAUUGUUUGAGGGGAGACAUAGGUGGGAGUUAAGCAAGCAUUUGUUUUUAAUAGGGCCAGCAGUGCAAAACUGGAAUGCAUUGCUCAGAAGAAAGUGACGUUUCCAUCCCUAGUGGGUUUGAAGCGUGUCACAUCCUAACAUCCAUCAAGAGAGGUUUAGAAGUGCUCUGUAGGGCCCAGAGGGAGGAGGUGAGAUCUCCCUAACCUCAGCGUUGUUGGGUCCAUGCUUAUUAUUGCUCACAUGCAGCAGGAAAGCACACAUGUACCAGCAGAGCUGGCCAUGCUGCCCCAGAGCACUCGGUGCCCACAGUGACAGGAGUGUGAAAGGAGGUCUAUUAGCAGCAGCUGCUUUUCAGAUGGGCAAGCACAUGGGGGAAGGGCUUCUGCGAGCUCACGCCAUUGCUCAGUGGCAAAGAGUAAAUCUUGGAAGUCCUAUCUCAAGGCUGUAUCCUGUUUGACAGUGAUCCACAGGUGGCUCGUCACAUCUGUCUGAUGUUUAAACCUUGGUAAAGGACAGCUCAGUCAUCAUUUCCCACAUGCGGAUUCACAGAUAGCUUGUAGAUGAGACCUCUCUUCCUCAGAGCAGCAAAGGGAAUCCUGUGCAUUUGGGUGCAAUGACGUUCGACAAAGUCCAUCUUCUCCCAGGCUUGUCCCCUGUAUUUAACUGAGUGGCACAGUCAAGUGGGUGAUCCUGUAGGCCUCUGUUGGAGAUUUGCAGGCUGUGUGAGCUGUGCUGAAGAACUGGAUUUAUUGGAACUAGAUUUUUUGGAAGUUAGAUGCAGUGUUCCAGCAUCUGGCCAGUUCCCAAGGUUAAUACCUGGCUCAAGGUUGCCUCCGUUCUGUUCUUUGUUGAGGUGAGGCCAUCGGGCAUCAAAAUGAUAGAUAAAUGCAAUUUAACUCAUCGUCAAGGACCCCUAAAAUGAGUAUACAGAAAGCCCCGCCAAGACAAAUGCUCUGCAUGAGUCCUGCAGGGGCUGCAGACUCCUUUUGAAAACCAUGCCUGUUAAAAAAACAUUGUCCUCUGGACCAGAAGGUAAAGACCACUGAAUUUUCUGUGGUGCCAGCUGUCCAGUCUCCUGGAGCACCCAGGCAGGAUACAUAUUGCAGGGUUCAUUUGGGGAGCGGAGCAGGGGGCAUAGGUCCUUGCUGAAGUACUGGCGAUGUCGUGGUGCUGUUGUUUCUCAUCUGCCCACUGGCAGAGCCGGAGAAAUGCCUGAGAGCAGGUGAGAUGAUGUGUGGUACUGGGUGGGGAGAAGCGCUGGGCAAGAAGCGUUGCAGCAUCUGUUGCUGUGGAUCCAAGGAGGAGAAAGGACCAAACUGAUCUUCCAGAUGGUGGCAAAGCAAGAGCUGUGGCCUUGUCUUUCUUGGGAAGAGGAGACUCCUAAGUGCUCUUUUUUCAUAUACAAAGAAGUGACAGCCUGUAAGUCCAGCCGUUUGAAACCUGAAGGGCAAGGAGCAGCAGCAGGUGACGAAGAACAGGAUCCAGUCCUUUCAGGACUAUGGGAUUGCUCUCUUUGAU